UACGGAGGGGGCUAGCGUUGUUCGGAAUUACUGGGCGUAAAGAGCUCGUAGGCGGCCUGUUGCGUCCGCUGUGAAAUCCCGGGGCUUAACCCCGGGCGUGCAGUGGAUACGGGCAGGCUGGAGGCAGGCAGGGGAGAACGGAAUUCCCGGUGUAGCGGUGAAAUGCGCAGAUAUCAGGAGGAACACCGGUGGCGAAGGCGGGUCUCUGGGCCGUUACUGACGCUGAGGAGCGAAAGCGUGGGGAGCGAACAGG
rnacentral:rRNA from 1 species